GCGACCCCAGGUCAGGCGGGAUCACCCGCUGAGUUUAAGCAUAUCAA
rnacentral:rRNA from 2 species